GACUUUGCGUCUACAGCCCGAGCGACUCGCGAAAGGCUGAUGGCUGGUGGCUUUUGCCACCGGCCU
rfam:Pseudomonas sp. BRH_c35 BRHa_1001714, whole genome shotgun sequence.